GGUUUGGGCGGUCACUUUUGGCUGACUUAUCUUCGUACCAAAGCAGACGUGAAACUGUCAUCCGCAGCCUUAUCCUGUACCUCAGUGAGAAAGAAGAAGAGCUUUUUGAAGAUUGCCUGGAGGACACUUGUAGUGAUGCCGCUGAACAUACCCUUAAGAUACUGGUCAUCCAUGGUGCUGAUCAAGAGGAUCCAGUCGAUGUGUCCAUCAUGCGGCAGUACUGCUAAAGCUUGCACACUGCUGAUGGGGCUUAUUUAAGCCCUCAACCUGGCAUACACCCCAACACUCUGCUACACCUUUGAGGUGUUCCAGAAACAUUUCCUGGACCUGGAUGGUGUUAAGAUGUCCCCAAAAGUGCAAUCUUUAUAGUUGAAGUUGCUCUCUUAAAUUCUAUCAACAUGGUACAUGCUGUACAAUCGAAGCUGUUGGUAGACUCCAAAUUACAUCUCCAGCUCAAAUAUUUUUUACAAAAUCUUGUCUAAUUUUUACUUCUUGAAAUGUU